UACGUAGGUGGCAAGCGUUGUCCGGAUUUACUGGGUUUAAAGGGUGCGUAGGCGGGUUGAUAAGUCUGGAGUGAAAGCUGGUCGCUUAACGAUCAAAUUGCUUUGGAUACUGUCAGUCUUGAAUAUGGUUGAGGUUGCUGGAAUGUGCAGUGUAGCGGUGAAAUGCUUAGAUAUUGCCCAGAACACCAAUUGCGAAGGCAUGUGACCAAGCCAUUAUUGACGCUGAUGCACGAAAGUAUGGGUAGCAAACAGG
rnacentral:rRNA from 1 species